UUCUUCCCUUCCUCCUUCCUGCCGCUGUAGUGUACUGAGCACUUUGACGUAAGAGUAUUCCUCCACUCGAACAACUUCCUGGAGAGGUACUUCUGUCGCUGCCACCUGCGAGAGUUUGAGGCUGCCUCCCAGAGACGCGGCCCCAGGGUUAUUGUGACCAACGAAUUUUCUUCAACUUCUGUUGAUGGGCUGCUGUGCACAGGUACGGAGUGCACAGGGAACCUAGUAGGCAAGAUCCCUGCCAUCGUGCAUCUUACUGUCAGGUUGGCACAGACCUUAAGGACGCACCUGUGAUGCUAGAGUAAAAUUUGUAGGAGCUGAGCUAGAAACUUGACGUUGCAGCCAGUAAUGUUAAGCCCAGACUCAUACAUUGUGAAAUAUCAGAACAUUAGAGACAAACAGAUAAUGCUCUAAGUGUCUGAAGAGGGGUAGAAAACAGGCCACGUAUAAGGAAUGAUAAUAAAAAUGACUCUGGGCUUCUCAGCAACAUUUGAAGGAAGAAAACAAUGGAAGAGUUCUUCAAUGUAAAAGAAAAUGCCCUUCAACCUAGAAUCCUAUAACCAACCAAACUGGCAAUGUGAAGAUUGACUGUAGACACUUGCAACAUCUGAAGAAAACUAGGCCAGGCACAGUGGCUCAUGCCCGUAAU